UGAGGGAAAGUCCGGGCUUUCCGGAAAGACCACACUUGCUUGGAUAAACGUCCAGUUGCGCGCGAGCGUGAGGAUAGUGCCACAGAAAAAAUACCGCCCCCUUUUUUCAGUGAUUAGUAAACAGUAACGAAAGUAAAUUCACUGAUAANUAAUAACUUUCCACUGAUAACUGAUACCUGAUAACUGAUUGGGGGUAAGGGUGCAAAGGUGCGGUAAGAGCGCACCAGCAGUAUCGAGAGGUACUGGCUCGGUAAACCCCAGUGGGGAGCAAGGUGGAGGGACAAAGGUUGGUCUUUUUCCUGUCCCGUUUUUAGGAACCGCUUGAGGUAAUUGGUAACAAAUAUCCCAGAUAGAUAACCUCUAUUCCAACAAAGGUAAAAGCAAUUUUACUGCUGUUGGGAAAUACAGAAUCCGGCUUAC
rnacentral:RNase_P_RNA from 1 species